rnacentral:rRNA from 1 species
AGCGUAGGCGGACUUUUAAGUGAGAUGUGAAAUACCCGGGCUCAACUUGGGUGCUGCAUUUCAAACUGGAAGUCUAGAGUGCAGGAGAGGAGAAUGGAAUUCCUAGUGUAGCGGUGAAAUGCGUAGAGAUUAGGAAGAACACCAGUGGCGAAGGCGAUUCUCUGGACUGUAACUGACGCUGAGGCUUGAAGCGUGGGAGCAAACA